rnacentral:rRNA from 1 species
CCUACGGGAGGCUGCAGUGAGGAAUAUUGGUCAAUGGCCGCAGGGCUGAACCAGCCAAGUCGCGUGAGGGAUGACGGUCCUAUGGAUUGUAAACCUCUUUUGUCAGGGAGCAAAGUGCGCCACGUGUGGCGUUUUGCGCGUACCUUAAGAAAAAGCAUCGGCUAACUCCGUGCCAGCAGCCGCGGUAAGACGGAGGAUGCGAGCGUUAUCCGGAUUUAUUGGGUUUAACGGUUGCGCAGGCGGAAUGUCAAGUCAGCGGUAACAUUUCGGGGCUCAACCCCGACGUGCCGUUGAAACUGGAGUGCUUGAGGGAGCGAGAAGGAUGCGGAAUGCGUGGUGUAGCGGUGAAAUGCAUAGAUAUCACGCAGAACUCCGAGUGCGAAGGCAGCAUACCGGCGCUAAACUGACGCUCAUGCACGAAAGCGUGGGUAUCGAACAGGAUUAGAUACCCCAGUAUC